rnacentral:sRNA from 2 species
UUGCGACCACUUACUUGCACUUCUUGCUACAGGCCAUCUAUAUUCGCUUACAUGGUAUGUUGAUUCAUAUAGCACCUUGUACUCAAUCAAUCCACUUCGUCAAUCUAGCAACCCAGAGAGUUGUGCUGCAAAGUGCGAAUAUACAUACAUUUGCAUCAUUCAACAUGGAAAGCAUUGUAUCCUACGAAGUCGAGCUAUGACUUCGCUUCGAGCAGUGGAACCUGGGGUAAUUCAUCAUUACCCAACCCACUUAAUAAUCCCUUAACCAUCGAAUUCAAGAUCUGGGAGAGUCAGGACUCUGGAACUAUCUCCCGAGGAUGGCAAAUGGGGCUCGGAUUCUCGUCAAAUGUCAAAGGAAAGUUAUUCACAAAUGCAUAUGCAUAUGUGUAUGAUCAAAUGCGUG